GUACUGAUCAGUAUGAUAAAUCUUAUAUUGAGCAAUAUAUAGCAGAUAUUUGCAUGUCAGUUGUUUAGGAAGAAAAUAAUUGUUAUUGAUAUUUUUCAUUAUUAAUUUAAUUAAAAUAUUUUUAUUAAAUUGAAAUGCGCAUAUCAAGUCAUAUUUUUUUUAAAACCCUAUGAACAAUGAUACAAUUGGAUGAUUAUAGUAAUUUCUAUUUUCUCUAAAAAAGCAUUUAAAUACUUGAUUGGGCAAAUAAGUUCAACAAGAAGAUUGUUGCCACC
rnacentral:lncRNA from 1 species